CGGCCUCUUCAGCACCCGCUGCGGCGUCUUCCACUCCUUCAGCUUCCCAGAGACGGUCUUCACCUCCGUGACCGCCUAUCAGAAUGAAAAGAUCACAAAGCUGAAAAUCUACAACAAUCCGUUUGCUAAAGGCUUCCGAGAACACAGGAAGAAUGUCCGUCACCGGGAAAGGACAGGUCGGGGAAGAAAUCCAGCCAAAGUAGCCAAGGUGGCAGCACCGCAGCUUCCUGCAGGGGAAGGUGUUGCCGUGGGGAGCCUCGCGGAGGGGAAAGCCAAGGGAUGCCUGACUGCCUGUGGGCCCACUUGGCUUUCUG